UACGUAGGGGGCAAGCGUUGUCCGGAUUUAUUGGGCGUAAAGAGCGUGUAGGCGGCCAUACAGGUCCGUUGUGAAAACUGGAGGCUUAACCUCCAGACGUCGAUGGAAACCGUAUGGCUAGAGUCCGGAAGAGGAGAGUGGAAUUCCUGGUGUGGCGGUGAAAUGCGCAGAUAUCAGGAAGAACACCCGUGGCGAAGGCGGCUCUCUGGGACGGUACUGACGCUGAGACGCGAAAGCGUGGGGAGCGAACAGG
rnacentral:rRNA from 1 species